UGCAAGUCGAGCGGAUGAAGGGAGCUUGCUCCUGGAUUCAGCGGCGGACGGGUGAGUAAUGCCUAGGAAUCUGCCUGGUAGUGGGGGAUAACGUCCGGAAACGGGCGCUAAUACCGCAUACGUCCUGAGGGAGAAAGUGGGGGAUCUUCGGACCUCACGCUAUCAGAUGAGCCUAGGUCGGAUUAGCUAGUUGGUGGGGUAACGGCCUACCAAGGCGACGAUCCGUAACUGGUCUGAGAGGAUGAUCAGUCACACUGGAACUGAGACACGGUCCAGACUCCUACGGGAGGCAGCAGUGGGGAAUAUUGGACAAUGGGCGAAAGCCUGAUCCAGCCAUGCCGCGUGUGUGAAGAAGGUCUUCGGAUUGUAAAGCACUUUAAGUUGGGAGGAAGGGCAGUAAGUUAAUACCUUGCUGUUUUGACGUUACCAACAGAAUAAGCACCGGCUAACUUCGUGCCAGCAGCCGCGGUAAUACGAAGGGUGCAAGCGUUAAUCGGAAUUACUGGGCGUAAAGCGCGCGUAGGUGGUUCAGCAAGUUGGAUGUGAAAUCCCCGGGCUCAACCUGGGAACUGCAUCCAAAACUACUGAGCUAGAGUACGGUAGAGGGUGGUGGAAUUUCCUGUGUAGCGGUGAAAUGCGUAGAUAUAGGAAGGAACACCAGUGGCGAAGGCGACCACCUGGACUGAUACUGACACUGAGGUGCGAAAGCGUGGGGGAGCAAACAGGAUUAGAUACCCUG
rnacentral:rRNA from 1 species